rnacentral:rRNA from 1 species
GACGAACGCUGGCGGCGUGCUUAACACAUGCAAGUCGAACGGUAAGGCCUUUCGGGGUCCACGAGUGGCGAACGGGUGCGUAACACGUGGGUGAUCUGCCCUGCACUUCGGGAUAAGCCCGGGAAACUGGGUCUAAUACCGGAUAGGACUGCGCGGUGCAUGCCGUGUGGUGGAAAGAUUUAUCGGUGCAGGAUGGGCCCGCGGCCUAUCAGCUUGUUGGUGGGGUAAUGGCCUACCAAGGCGACGACGGGUAGCCGGCCUGAGAGGGCGACCGGCCACACUGGGACUGAGACACGGCCCAGACUCCUACGGGAGGCAGCAGUGGGGAAUAUUGCACAAUGGGCGCAAGCCUGAUGCAGCGACGCCGCGUGAGGGAUGACGGCCUUCGGGUUGUAAACCUCUUUCAGCAGGGACGAAGCGUGAGUGACGGUACCUGCAGAAGAAGCACCGGCCAACUACGUG